rnacentral:lncRNA from 1 species
CUCCGGGCAGAGCGCGUGUGGCGGCCGAGCACAUGGGCCCGCGGGCCGGGCGGGCUCGGGGCGGCCGGGACGAGGAGGGGCGACGACGAGCUGCGAGCAAAGAUGUGCCCCGGGACCCCCGGCACCUUCCAGUGGAUUUCCUUGCGGAAAGGAUGUUGGCGGUCCCUGUGACCUGUGGAGACACGGCCAGAUCUGCCCUCCAGCCUGAUCUUUUGGCCAGAAGGAGAUUAAAAAGAUGCCCCUCAAGAUGGCUGUGCCUGUCAGCUGCAUGGAGCUUCGUUCAAGUAUUUUCUGAGCCUGAUGGAUUUACAGUGAUCUUCAGUGGUCUGGGGAAUAACGCUGGUGGAACCAUGCACUGGAAUGACACACGCCCGGCACAUUUCAGGAUACUAAAAGUGGUUUUAAGGGAGGCUGUGGCUGAAUGCCUCAUGGAUUCUUACAGCUUGGAUGUCCAUGGGGGACGAAGGACUGCAGCUGGCUGAGAGGGUUGAGAUCUCUGUUUACUUAGAUCUCUGCCAACUUCCUUUGGGUCUCCCUAUGGAAUGUAAGACCCCGACUCUUCCUGGUGAAGCAUCUGAUGCACGUUCCAUCCGGCGCUCAGCUGGGCUUGAGCUGACCAUACUCCCUGGAGCCUUCUCCCGAGGUGCGCGGGUGACCUUGGCACAUACAGCCAUCAUGAUGGUACUUUAAGUGGAGGCUGAAUCAUCUCCCCUUUGAGCUGCUUGGCACGUGGCUCCCUUGGUGUUCCCCUUUUACUGCCAGGACACUGAGAUUUGGAGAGAGUCUCACUCUGUGGUCCAGGCUGAAGUACAGUGGCAUGAUCCCAGGUCACUGCAACCCCCACCUCCCGGGUUCAAGUGAUCCUCCUGCCUCAGCCUCCCGAGUAGCUGGUAUUACAGGCGUGUGCCACAAAGCCUGGCUAAGUUUUGUAUUUUUAGUAGAGACGGGGUUUCACCAUGUUGGCCAGGUUGGUCUCGAACUCCUGACCUCAAGUGAUCCACUCACUUUGGCCUUUCAACGUGCUGGGAUUACAGGCGAGAGUCACCGCACCCGGACGACUCUGACAUUUUUGAAGAGUCCAGAAUCCUGUUACACCUGGGAUUUAGGCACUUUCAAUCUGAAAAAAUACAUAUCCUUUCAGCACUCUGGACGGACUUGAGAACUGUCCUUACGUGACCUAAAGCUGGAGUAUUUUGAGAUUGGAGAAUUAAGAGCCAGUCUUGGUGCUCUGUGUUCACCUGGUUCAUCUGAGGAGCUGCAUCUACCCUGCCCAUGCCAUAGAUCCUGCCCUGUUUGCUUCUCCUGUUGCUGCUAGUGGACAUGAGAAGGACAGAAUAACGGGCUCCCAGAUUCACAAGCCCCACCAAGAGGAUCACCCCAGGAACGCUUGGAGGCUGAGGAGUUCACUGAGGCUACUGCAUCUUGAGACUCAGGAUGAAGACCCAGCUUGGGGCUGUCAAAGAGGCCUGAAGAGGCAGAACACCCCAGAGGAGCCUGGGGCCACCACCCAGCAUCACUGUGGGAAAACGGCAGCAGGAAAUGUCCUCUCGCCUGCGUGCUCCACCUCGGUCCACGCCUUCCCUCCUUCUGGAAGCCUUGCCUGACCACUGGCCUGCCCCUUCUAUGGGAAUCACUACUGACCUUGCAGCUUAUUAUAGACUUAUAUGUUUUUUGCAUGUCUGACACCCAUGACUCCACCUGGACCUUAUGGCUCCACCCAGAAGCAAUUCAGCCCAACAGGAGGACAGCUUCAACCCAUUACGAUUUCAUCUCUGCCCCAACCACUCAGCAGCAAGCACCUGUUACCUGUCCACCCCCACCCCUUCCCCCAAACUGCCUUUGAAAAAUCCCUAACCUAUGAGCUUUGAAUAAGAUGAGUACGAACUUCAUCGCCCACGUGGCGUGGCCGGCCUCGUGUCUAUUAAAUUCUUUUUCUACUAAAAAAAAAAAAAAAAAA